rnacentral:rRNA from 1 species
UACAGAGGGUGCUAGCGUUGUUCGGAAUCAUUGGGCGUAAAGGGUGCGUAGGCGGUUACGCAAGUCGGUUGUGAAAUCCGGGGCUCAACCCCGGACCUGCAUCCGAUACUGCGUGACUAGAGGUAGGUAGGGGAGAUCGGAAGUUCCUGGUGUAGCGGUGAAAUGCGCAGAUAUCAGGAGGAACACCGGUGGCGAAGGCGGAUCUCUGGGCCUUACCUGACGCUCAGGCGCGAAAGCUAGGGGAGCGAACAGG